rnacentral:lncRNA from 1 species
CUUACUUCCACGAAUUAUAUAUCGUGUGGUUGUCCGCUCGAUGAACCGACAAACUAGGGGCGUGUGGUGGGUUGAUAGGAUGAAAGUUUUUCUUUUUGAAGAAAAGUGGGUAGAUGAAAGUUGGUGAAUGCUAAUCUGAGUAAAAGCUUGCACUACAUUUCAGAAACAUGCAAGGUCAAGGAAUAACUAGUUGGGGAGAUCUUUUUUCCUUUUCUUCAGCAGGACUUCCCAAUGACAAGGGAACAUGUUCCGGGGGAGAAAAAUGCAGAAUAAGUGGUUCAUACUCCAUACAAGAGUAUUCCUUUACGCAAGAGUGACUUGCCUAUCGCCAGGAUCAAUCAGUACUAGACUAAUAUGAAAGUACAACAUGGUAUAUGUAUGCAGCAGAAUGAGUGGUUCAUAUAGAAUUCAUACGUACACAUGGUCUUUAGGCAGGAGUCACACAACAAGCUAAGAGGAGGAUCAACCCUUUCAAAAAAGAAAAAAAAAAAGGAGGAUCAAUCACUAGACUAAGACUAGACCAGCUGACUAGGCCAAGUAAUGUGAAAGUAGGCAACACUUUGAUGAGUACAGUACAGUGCACACACCUAUGAGGCUAUGUGGUUAAGGAACUACAGAAGGUCAGAUGCUAGCAACUAGGAGUAGAUCUAUGCACCUUGCCAAAAGAGAGGCACACAGAGCACUGAAAAACUAAGAGGUGAUAGAAAGGCUG